GACGAACGCUGGCGGCGUGCUUAACACAUGCAAGUCGAACGGAAAGGCCCUGCUUUUGUGGGGUGCUCGAGUGGCGAACGGGUGAGUAACACGUGAGUAACCUGCCCUUGACUUUGGGAUAACUUCAGGAAACUGGGGCUAAUACCGGAUAGGAGCUCCUGCUGCAUGGUGGGGGUUGGAAAGUUUCGGCGGUUGGGGAUGGACUCGCGGCUUAUCAGCUUGUUGGUGGGGUAGUGGCUUACCAAGGCUUUGACGGGUAGCCGGCCUGAGAGGGUGACCGGCCACAUUGGGACUGAGAUACGGCCCAGACUACUACGGGAGGCAGCAGUGGGGAAUAAUGCACAAUGGGCGGAAGCCUGAUGCAGCAACGCCGCGUGCGGGAUGACGGGCUUCGGGUUGUAAACCGCUUUCGCCUGUGACGAAGCGUGAGUGACGGUAAUGGGUAAAGAAGCACCGGCUAACUACGUG
rnacentral:rRNA from 1 species